CCCUUUUAACCUCUUUACACGUUUAUUUUCGUACUCCUCGUUCUGUAGAUUCAACUGAUCUAAUAAGAUCCUCUAUAACAGGUGGUUAAUAAAAAAGGAACUGGUGAAUGUAAAUUCACGAAAAGCAAAUGCACUUUGCAGCUGGUUGCCAAAACUUAAAUAUUGUAAAACAAGAUCAGCACUUUACUUACAUAAUAUUCUUCAUUAACGUCGACCUUUCUUCUUCUUUUAAUAAUGUCUAACUCUGCAUCCCGGGACAAGGAUUUAACUUGUUCAUCUCGUCUGUUAAAUUUGACUUGGGAAAUGGGGAUCAAGCAUGACCAGACUAAUAAUACUGAGCUCAAAAACGGCAAUCCAACGUAAAUAAACGGACUUUUCUUGGCUUGAAGCCUAUACCAACUUUUAAAUCGAUAGAAAAGCAUUUUAAUUUAUUAACAUCCUUACAUUCGCUGAAAACGAUGGAUUGUUAAGAAUGUGUAGUAAAUAGCAAGUUGGUUAAGAUGAUUAUGGCAAACUUCAC